AACGCAUAUUGCACUCUUUGGUAUUCCGAAGAGUAUGCCUGUUUGAGGGUCAUUUGAAAAUUAAUCAAGUUUAAUCUUGGAAUAAUGAGUUUUCCGCGUUAUCAUAUGGUAAUUGGUCACUCGAAAUUAAUGUCAUGUCUUGGCUUGUAACAGACGCGUUUAUUUUAAAUUUUAAAUGUUCGCAACUAAUCAAGUCUUGUGUAAUGAUAUGUUUAAUUUUUCCCUUUUAAAAAGAGGAAGAAAUCGAACAACUUUUUUAUAAUCGUGACCUCAAAUCAGGUAAGAGUACCCGCUGAACUUAA
rnacentral:misc_RNA from 1 species